UUAAUCUCAUUUGAAUAGUCUUAAGUUAACUCUUUAGCCAAUUUGCUGAGAAUAAUGAAUCAGUGAUAUCAAAAAUAUGAUUAUGCCAUUCGACGGUUCCUACUCUCUUCAAGCCUUCCUCUGCUUUACUUCUUAAAAAGUCAAUCUUUCCUGAUUCCAAGUUAACAACUUUCCAACGGAUCUUUCGUUCCACGAAGAAAGCCUCAAAUGGGUCUGCUCGUGCUUCCUUGCUCGAGACCCCUGUCUUGUGGGCUGGUCGAGUUUGUGUCUUUUACGCGCUUGUCAAAGCUGGUUUAGCUGGAUCCAAGUCUAACCCCAUCGUUUCUGAAUAAAACCUUCUCCAUGGUUGUUUUGAAAAUGGUUUUAGCUUUCAUCGUUUUGAUUUUUGAUUUGAUGGUAUUGGAUAAUCUCAGGGUUGGAAAGUGGUGGGGUGGAUGUUGAAGAUGAUGGGGCGGAUCUUGGUUUCUCAAAGUGGAUUCAGAACAUUAAGGGCAAACCAGGAGAUGGAUGAGGCUGUGGGGAUCGCUCUUAAUCACUCUCACUUAAAAUUUCUUCCCUCAGCUUCCAAAGAUUUUCUCAAAGAUGGCUUCCUCCGCUCCCGCCGUUGUUGCCCCGACAUCGUUUGACGAUCUCCGCCUGGAUCGAUCUACUCAGUUCGUUGUGGCUCGCCUCCUUCGUUUUUGGGACUUCAGAAACAUUAAGAAGCAAGGUAAAUUCAUGGGAAUCACCUUGCUUUUCCUUGAUGAGCAGAAUUCUGUGAUCCAUGGGUUUAUACCUGCUGCUCGCUCCGGUCACUACCGCCCAGGUUUACGAAGUGGUUCCAUCGUCAAAGUUUCAGGCUUUGAGGUUGCUAGAUGCACUAACAUGUACAAGAUCACAGACAAUCCUUUCGUGAUCCGGUUCCUGCCACAAACAACCAUUGAUGAAGUCCUGGUCAAUGCUCCCAUUAUCAACCUCCAAAAAUUCAUGCUCAGGAAGUUUGAGCAUCUUCAAGCACUUGCUAACACGAACUUGGAACUCCCAGAUGUUGUAGGAAUGAUUCGUUCCGUCCAAGGUUCCGAUCUUAAGGACGCUACAGUGAUGACUCGAGUUGUUGUCCGCUUCGUCAUCGAACCAUAAGCUAACAAAAACUUAUUUGGAAAACUUUUAUGGAUGUGGCAUCGUCAUUAAAACAACUUUUUUGCAGUAAUGUUGUGGUGUAUCUGUCCUUAUGGGAUGAAGCUGUGGCAACCUUUCGGGGAUUCAUCAGCUCAGGCGAAAGAACACAGUCUGUCAUGGUGGUCACAACUGUGAAUCCAAAAAUCUUUGGAGGAAAUUUGUACCUCAACUCCACCCCAGCCACAUAAUUUUAUUUCGACGUGAAUCUUCCAGCCAUCACCCAGUUCACAGCUAGCUUAGGAGGACCAGUUGGUGAAGCUUUUCCUUGCAUCGAUACCAGGAACAUGUCUCCAUUAGAGAUCUCAACAAAUUCAUCUCCAACUCUGAUGAGCAGACCCAGGAAGCAGAGUUCAUCUACAAGGCUCGAGUGCUUGAGGUUCUCCAACAGAAUGGGUGGUCUUUUGUUUCAUGCACUGGCUGCAGCAGAAAGUUAGAUCAAUCAGGAAAUUCUCUACGUUGCAACCGUUGUGUUAAUGCCAACGUCAGCGGUGUUAUAAAUUGAGCAUUUUAAACAGUACCGUGUUGAAUUGUCUGUUUAUGAUGGGAAUGACAAUGCCACUUUUGUGGUUUUCGACAUAGAGAUGCUUAGUCUCGUAAAGAAAGAUGCCGCAACUCUAAUUGUGGAACAGAUGUUUGAUGGUAGAUACGGGUUUCAAGCAUUUCCGCUUUCUUGAGCAAGCAUUGACUGCAACCAAGCUGGACCAGCCACAUCAAUGUAGGAGUGAUGCCCUAUUCUCGCACGUAACACUUUGUAUAUUCCUCCUUGGAAUAACAUGUUCAAGACUCCAACCAUAGUAAUCUUGAAAUUAUAUCAUUAGUUAUGUCAUGAAACCAAGGGAAAAUGCGAGGAUUUAACAUGACCUCUCUUGACUGGAUCAUAUGAGAUUCAAAAUAAGAUUCGCUAUAAUACUUAAAAGUGACACUAAAACUGUUACAAUGUGUUGUAAAAUAAUAAUAUAGUUUAAUAGUCAUCUAAAUGUAUGUCAUCUAAUACGUGUCGUCUUAAAAAAAAUCAUAUUUUGUGCUUAUAGCUUUCACUCUAAAUAUGGAAAAGCAUUCAUAAACUUAAAUAAUCUUAAGAUCAACAUUUGACAUUGUUGUUUAGCAUUGUUGUGAUUGAUGAACUUUUUAUGUAGACUUUUCUGGAGUUUAAGUUAAGAAAAUAAUAUCCUAGGUGUGUAUGUUGUUAUGAAAUUGGGUUGUAUUCUUAUGUUGGGGUUAUACUGUGAUCCGUUUUCAUAUUCUUGUCAAAAUUGUAUCUUUUUGCAUUGACAAAAUAAUGUCAUGUAGUUUCUACACAUUGCUCUGCACAUUUAUGGAGAUUACAUAUCUCUCUAUCCAUUUUU